UCUAACAAAGGUUUGUUUAAA
rnacentral:piRNA from 1 species